rnacentral:rRNA from 1 species
UACGGAGGGUGCAGGCGUUAUCCGGAUUCACUGGGUUUAAAGGGUGCGUAGGCGGGCAGGUAAGUCCGUGGUGAAAUCUCUGAGCUUAACUCAGAAACUGCCAUGGAUACUAUUUGUCUUGAAUAUUGUGGAGGUGAGCGGAAUAUGUCAUGUAGCGGUGAAAUGCUUAGAUACGACAUAGAACACCAAUUGCGAAGGCAGCUCACUACACAGUUAUUGACGCUGAGGCACGAAAGCGUGGGGAUCAAACAGG